GCAAGUCUCGCACUGUUUACAGUUGCAUUUUUUAUGUGAGUAAGUAAUUUCUCUAAAAACUGAAAGGAUUUCUUGGUGAAUUGAUGGGAAAGUGUGCUAACAAUGUGAUUUUGGAAUAGAGAUUCAGUUCGUUUUUAUUUUUCGACGCCGAUCAAUCUUGUGAUUGGUAUCAUGAAAUUGAGCCCUGUCAGACCUGUUGGCACAGAGCUGCAGAUAGAUCAGAGAGUUUUGUCAAGGCGAUCGAAAAUCUUGCGAGAGACCAAGUCAAAUCAUGCCAACCUGGAGCCUCCUCUGUCUGCGGUCACAUGAAUGAAUGUGGAGUCCAUAAGGAACCAAAGGAACAAUUUUAAGGCUUACCAUUUUCGUCGCACAAUCACUUGUUUUGGCUUUGAUCGGAGCUUAGCUACAUUUUGCAAGGAGAAACUACAAAUUCUGACUCAUCUGUCAAAACCA